rnacentral:rRNA from 1 species
UUACUGGCUCAGGAUGAACGCUAGCUACAGGCUUAACACAUGCAAGUCGAGGGGCAGCAUGAAGUUUGCUUGCAAACUUGAUGGCGACCGGCGCACGGGUGAGUAACGCGUAUCCAACCUUCCCUAUACUAGAGGAUAGCCCGGCGAAAGUCGGAUUAAUACUCUAUGUUCUUCGUAGAAGACAUCUGAAAUGAAGCAAAGGUUUACCGGUAUAGGAUGGGGAUGCGUCUGAUUAGGUUGUUGGCGGGUAACGGCCCACCAAGCCCACGAUCAGUAGGGGUUCUGAGAGGAAGGUCCCCCACAUUGGAACUGAGACACGGUCCAAACUCCUACGGGAGGCAGCAGUGAGGAAUAUUGGUCAAUGGACGAGAGUCUGAACCAGCCAAGUAGCGUGCAGGAUGACGGCCCUAUGGGUUGUAAACUGCUUUUACACAGGGAUAAAGUUCACUACGUGUAGUGUUUUGUAGGUACUGUAUGAAUAAGGACCGGCUAAUUCCGUGCCAGCAGCAGC